AUUGGAAACGAUAGCUAAUACCGCAUAACAAUAGAUGUUGCAUGACAACUAUUUGAAAGGGGCAAUUGCUCCACUACCAGAUGGACCUGCGUUGUAUUAGCUAGUUGGUGAGGUAACGGCUCACCAAGGCGACGAUACAUAGCCGACCUGAGAGGGUGAUCGGCCACACUGGGACUGAGACACGGCCCAGACUCCUACGGGAGGCAGCAGUAGGGAAUCUUCGGCAAUGGACGGAAGUCUGACCGAGCAACGCCGCGUGAGUGAAGAAGGUUUUCGGAUCGUAAAGCUCUGUUGUAAGAGAAGAACGAGUGUGAGAGUGGAAAGUUCACACUGUGACGGUAUCUUACCAGAAAGGGACGGCUAACUACGUGCCAGCAGCCGCGGUAAUACGUAGGUCCCGAGCGUUAUCCGGAUUUAUUGGGCGUAAAGCGAGCGCAGGCGGUUAGAUAAGUCUGAAGUUAAAGGCUGUGGCUUAACCAUAGUACGCUUUGGAAACUGUUUAACUUGAGUGCGGUAGGGGAGACUGGAACUCCUGGUGUAGCGGUGGAAU
rnacentral:rRNA from 1 species